rnacentral:rRNA from 1 species
GACGAACGCUGGCGGCGUGCUUAACACAUGCAAGUCGAACGGAAAGGCCCCUUUGGGGGUACUCGAGUGGCGAACGGGUGCGUAACACGUGAGUAACCUGCCCUUGACUUCGGGAUAACUUCAGGAAACUGGGGCUAAUACCGGAUAGGAAUCCUUGCUGCAUGUUGGGGGUUGGAAAGCUUCGGCGGUUUUGGAUGGACUCGCGGCUUAUCAGCUUGUUGGUGGGGUAGUGGCUUACCAAGGCUUUGACGGGUAGCCGGCCUGAGAGGGCGACCGGCCACAUUGGGACUGAGAUACGGCCCAGACUCCUACGGGAGGCAGCAGUGGGGAAUAUUGCACAAUGGGCGGAAGCCUGAUGCAGCAACGCCGCGUGCGGGGUGACGGCCUUCGGGUUGUAAACCGCUUUCAGCAGGGGCGAAGCUUUUGUGACGGUACCUGCAGAAGAAGCACCGGCUAACUACGUG